UGGGGAAUAUUGGACAAUGGGCGAAAGCCUGAUCCAGCCAUGCCGCGUGUGUGAAGAAGGUCUUCGGAUUGUAAAGCACUUUAAGUUGGGAGGAAGGGCAUUAACCUAAUACGUUAGUGUUUUGACGUUACCGACAGAAUAAGCACCGGCUAACUCUGUGCCAGCAGCCGCGGUAAUACAGAGGGUGCAAGCGUUAAUCGGAAUUACUGGGCGUAAAGCGCGCGUAGGUGGUUUGUUAAGUUGGAUGUGAAAUCCCCGGGCUCAACCUGGGAACUGCAUUCAAAACUGUCUGACUAGAGUAUGGUAGAGGGUGGUGGAAUUUCCUGUGUAGCGGUGAAAUGCGUAGAUAUAGGAAGGAACACCAGUGGCGAAGGCGACCACCUGGACUAAUACUGACACUGAGGUGCGAAAGCGUGGGGAGCAAACA
rnacentral:rRNA from 1 species